CACCCCCCAAUACCCCCUCGCUUCCGAUUUGAGACAUUUUGGGUGUCUCAAACCAGCUUCGUGGAGGGCGUUGGUGCGCGCUGGCUGGAGGCCCGCUCCCCCCCACCACGCCCUCCCUCGGCCAUCGACUCUUGGUAGUUCUGUGCCAAGCGUGGUCAUCAGUUCAUGAAGGGCUGGGGCGCCAACGUUGGUUGGGAUCUUAGGGAGCAUGAAAAGGCCCUUCUGACCGCCAUCCAGGCGCUUGACCUCUGGGCUGAUGCUUCCGGCCUCUCCCCCAAUGUGUGACUCUUGCGGUACGAUCUAGAGGAUCAGCUCUCUGUCAUCUACACUGAUGAGGAGGCCUAUUAGCCUCUACGCGGCUCCCAGAAAUGGGUCUUGAAGGGUGACGCUAACACGGCCUACUUUCAGGCCAUUGCUAAUGGUCAUCAUAGACGCAACACCAUCCCUCUUCUCUGGGAUGGCGAGACGCUCUUACAAUCCCCUAGUGACAUUUGGGCGCACGUCGACAGAUUCUACAAGAGCCUCAUCUCCCCUCGAAGUGUGCUAUCGCUGGCCCAUGACCGCUGGACGAGCCCUAAGCUGGUCUCGGAGGAGAAUGCGGCCCACACGGCCCCAUUCUCUGAGGGCGAGGUUUGCGCGGCCAUCCGAGGUAUGAAUCCCUCCUCGGCCCCGGGUCCCGACGGCAUCCUGGUCAAAUUUUUUCAGACAUUCUAGAAUGUGAUCAAACCCGAGAUCAUGGCCAUCUUCGACGAGUUCUAUGUAGGCUCCAUCGACCUCGGCCGACUCAACUAUGGGAUCAUUUCACUCAUCCCCAAAGUGUAUGGAGCUUCCAACAUCCGCCAGUUCCGCCCAAUCACGGUGAUCAACGCGAUCUUCAGGAUCCUAGCAAAAGGGUACGCCAAUAGGGUGACCCUGCUUGCGGAUCGCAUUACUCACCCCAACCAUUCCGCCUUCAUCCAAGGGCGGUAUAUCGUGGAUGGGGUGCUAGUUCUCCAUGAAGUGCUCCAUGAGGUCUGCUCUAAGCACCUCAAGGUGGUCUUCUUGAAGCUCGAUUUCCAUAGGGCCUAUGGUACGGUCAGUUGGUCCUUUCUUCGGGAAGUUUUGCUCCAGAAAGGCUUCGAUGAACCUUGGAUCACCCGUGUGAUGCAGAUGGUCUCCUGCGGUCGCACGGCCUUGAACAUCAAUGGGGAGAUUGGUCCCUACUUCCCCACCCUAUUGGUGUUAGACAGGGCGACCCCUUCCCCCCCUUCUUGUUCAACAUGUUGGUCGACACUCUUGCCACCAUCCUUGACAAGACCAAGGCGGCUGGCCAUAUUUGUGGGAUUACUCCUCACUUGA
rnacentral:rRNA from 1 species